rnacentral:rRNA from 1 species
AGUGAACGCUGGCGGUAGGCCUAACACAUGCAAGUCGAACGGCAGCACAGUAAGAGCUUGCUCUUACGGGUGGCGAGUGGCGGACGGGUGAGGAAUACAUCGGAAUCUACUUUUUCGUGGGGGAUAACGUAGGGAAACUUACGCUAAUACAGCAUACGACCUACGGGUGAAAGCAGGGGAUCUUCGGACCUUGCGCGGAUGAAUGAGCCGGUGUCGGAUUAGCUAGUUGGCGGGGUAAAGGCCCACCAAGGCGACGAUCCGUAGCUGGUCUGUGAGGAUGCUCCGCCACACUGGAACUGAGACACGGUCCAGACUCCUACGGGCGGCAGCAGUGGGUAAUAUUGGACAAUGGGCGCAAGCCUGCUCCAGCCAUACCGCGUGGGUGAAGCAGGCCUUCGGGUUGUAAAGCCCUUUUGUUGUGAAAGAAAAGCAGCAGGUUAAUACCCCGCUGUUCUGACGGUACCCAAAGAAUAAGCACCGCCUAACUUCGU